rnacentral:rRNA from 1 species
GACGGGGAUGCAAGUGUUAUCCGGAAUCACUGGGCGUAAAGCGUCUGCAGGUGGUUUCCUAAGUCCACUGUUAAACCUUGAGGCUCAACCUCAAAUCUGCAUUGGAAACUAGGAGACUUGAGUAUAGUAGGGGUAGAGGGAAUUUCCGAGUGGAGCGGUGAAAUGCGUAGAUAUUGGAAAGAACACCGAUGGCGAAGGCACUCUACUGGGCUAUUACUGACACUCAGAGACGAAAGCUAGGGGAGCAAAUGGG